UGAUCCGAAUCCGGUGUACCGUCGGCGGCACACUGCGUGUGUUUUGGUUGAUAACAUUGGGAAAUACAACAACUUAAAAAAGACAAACCUAAACACAUCAUAUAUCACUAAGCUGAGAUUCUUGUGAUUCGAACGAUGUAAACCAUUUUAAGAUACAGUCAACACAGUCAGUGCAAUCAGAGUGUUUGUCAAACAACCAACAACCAAAAAACCAGCUUACAAACAGGGUAUGAAAAUGAGUAAACUGACCUAUAACGCCUUCUUGUAGUCCAAAGAUCCAUAAAAUUCCAACAAAAACGGUGUAGUUACACUCUGAAGGGUCCAGUUAAUCCAAUUCAGUGAAAUAUUUAGUCCACAGCACAUGUAUAUGUCAAUAAACAUCCAAGGAACAUAGUAGUAUCAUUUAUAAAUAGCCGACAAAGCCACCAAGUCUCCGACGCAUUCGGUCGUGUAGCGUCUCUUCACUUGUAAACAUUGCAGAUGUGUUGAUUUUAAAAUGGCCGCUGAACUCUGCCCUUUUGAUUGACACCUCAUUUGAGCGAAUAGGUGCUUCUCAGAGGUGACAACAGGCAAGAAUACGCAAGGAACGCCCUUGCGCGAGGAUGGGACCUUCCCCUAUUUGAUUGACAAUAGAUCGAUCCUGUCGCGUCAAAGUUUGCAAAUGACGGGCGUAUCUGAUAGCCAAUAAGAUUCUGAAAAGAUUGAUACAAAGCUUCCCUAGGAAGAUUCAACCUGUAACCCGAUUGGUCGUGCACAAACAUACACUUGUUUGGUGCGCUCUGUGUGCGUAAAUCCCAACAGUGACUAGCGGCCGUGCGCUAAAGCUGCUAAUGCUGUGCUAGGAAAGCAUUGAGCGUCUAAAAAGUUUUACAAUGUCGAAAAGAGCAAGUAAAAGAAACUUUUCACUUGAAGAAGUUGUCGAGCAGUGUACCAGGCGUGAGAGUGAUUUGUUGGAGGAAGACGUUUCAGACGAAGAGAGCGUUUCCUCCGUCGACCCAGUAGCGGAAGAGAUUUUUUGGAUGGGGGAGACGUCACUCUCGACAAGUGCAUGCUGGAGUGGACCUUUCCAAUGCCCUAAUCAGCUAUUAUAAACUGAUCCACAAAACCCAGAAUUGGUAUAAGACCUUUUUUAUCAUUUCUAAGACAUUGCCACUGUGAAUGCCUUACUGAUUUACAAGCAUAUCACAAAAGGUAAAGGGGAGGUGCCAAUGCACCAGAAGGCAUUUAGGGAGACACUAGUGAGUAGCUGGCAGCGGUUGCUGACAUACCCGCUCCAUCGCCCACUUCACACAGAGCACAUCACAAGCCUUUGCAUAUUAGUGGUGACGGCACCACAGUUCGUCUAAGGUGCAGGCACUGCCAUGCAAAGACUACUGUAAAAUGUUCUUCAUGUGAUGAGCCUUUGUGCUUUUUGCCAAGCCGUGAUUGUAAUAACGAGUGGCAUGUUGCCAAUAACCUGUAAUAUUGUAAAAUUUCUAAAUAGUUUUUUAUAUACAUUUAUAUAUUUAGAUUGUGGUUUUUCUAAUAUUAAAAGUAUUUUAUUACUAUAGAA